ensembl:misc_RNA
UUGAUAACCCUGGUGGCUGGAGACUUUUAUUUAUCCAUAAAAUAGUCCAACAUGGGCAACUGUAGAACAGCUUCUCCAUGCUGCUCUGCCAAUGUGUCUCAACCCUGCCCUGGCAGGACCACCCUUGGAAUCCAGUGGCAACAUUUUGUGCUGUUGGCCCAAAGCUUCAAAUCCUCAUCCAAG